GACGAACGCUGGCGGCGUGCUUAACACAUGCAAGUCGAACGGAAAGGCCCUGCUUUUGUGGGGUGCUCGAGUGGCGAACGGGUGAGUAACACGUGAGUAACCUGCCCUUGACUUUGGGAUAACUUCAGGAAACUGGGGCUAAUACCGGAUAGGAGCUCCUGCUGCAUGGUGGGGGUUGGAAAGUUUCGGCGGUUGGGGAUGGACUCGCGGCUUAUCAGCUUGUUGGUGGGGUAGUGGCCUACCAAGGCUUUGACGGGUAGCCGGCCUGAGAGGGUGACCGGCCACAUUGGGACUGAGAUACGGCCCAGACUCCUACGGGAGGCAGCAGUGGGGAAUAUUGCACAAUGGGCGGAAGCAUGAUGCAGCAACGCCGCGUGCGGGAUGACGGCCUUCGGGUUGUAAACCGCUUUCGCCUGUGACGAAGCGUGAGUGACGGUAAUGGGUAAAGAAGCACCGGCUAACUACGUG
rnacentral:rRNA from 1 species